rnacentral:rRNA from 1 species
CAUAGCCUGUCGAUAUGACAGGUACACUCUGCUCAGUGAAUUUAACAGCCGCAGUAAUCUGACUGUGCUAAGGUAGCAUAAUAAAUUGGCCUUUAAUUAAGGUCUAGAAUGAAAGGAAUAUAUAUAGGCUGUCUUAGGUAUAUAUUAUAAAAUUACUAAAAAGGUGAAAAUUCCUUUAUUAUAUGAAAGACGAGAAGACCCUUAGAACUUUAAUUAUUUUUGUUGGGGCGACAAGUAUUCAUAUACCUAUAUUAUAUAAUAACAUGACCAGUCAGAAUAAGUUACCUGAGGGAUAACAGCAUAAAUAUAUGUUUAUGACCUCGAUGUUGGACUAGGGUAAAUAGGCUAGCAGUCGAUUAUGUUCUGUUCGAACCCUACGUGAUCU